GAGUGGCUAGGGUCAGCAGCCUUACUCUGCACGGGUGGAAAAAUCCUCUCAAAGUGCCCACUAGUGUCUUGGCUUAAUAUGGUAAAGAGAAAACUUCAAAAACACUGGUCCCACACCUUGUGGGGUUGUUUGCUGUGGGUUGUCCUCCAGCAUAAGAGCUCUCAUUUUCCUUAAAGUUCUCCAAAAAUGUGGGAAAGCUCUUAGAAGCUCGUCAGGAAUUCUGAGCCAGAUAGCACUGUGCUAAGGUGCUUCAAAGCUUUCACAGAUGAGGCAGACAAAACAAGUACUGUGGAACAGCCUGAAUAUAAUUCAGCAAGAAGAUCCUGCAUAUAAGCAUCAGCAGGAAGGGAGGCACAGAGAAUCUGCAAGAAGAUGAUGAAGGGAUAAGGCUGACAAUAAAUGAGCACUGAAACACGUCUGAAACGUGGGAGGUCUCGUGGUGGAAAUAAUUUGGGAGAAGAAGCAUUUUUGAGUGAUGAUUGAGCAGGUGGAAAACUGACUCUCAGUAGCAAGACUUGUGACAAAGGAAUUGCUGACACCAAAUCAGGACACAACCCAGCUGUGGACAAACAGUGCAGCCAUGAGGGGAAUAAGAAAGGGGCAAGAGUUUAAGUGCUACAGAGAUGGAUAAUGGGAAAUAUUACAGCUUUGACUAGGGACUUCUUGGUGAGCCACAGCUUCUGGGGUUGGCCAUGCAUGGAAGGGAAAAAUAAGCAUGUUUCUCAUGGACAUAAAA